AACAUCAUCCAACAACUCAUCGACAAAACUGUUAUACACCGUACCUUGGUGGCCGCAAUGCACGUGUGCCUCUGUGUGCAAAAACCCAAACAUUUUACGACUUGGUAACAGUUUGCUAUCGCUGGCUGUUGCUGUUGCUGUUGCUGUCUGUCUGCUGCCGGUGCUACUGAUUUUGAUGACGACAAUCAUUCGCCGCGCCAUCAUUCAGUCAGCCAUAUUCGUCGUGUCGACAGGCGCAAAUUUAAAAUUUCAAUACAAAGUUGGUAGCCAAGCAGAGCGCAUGCACGUGACCGGCAGGAAAAUGCUUUAGUAAUUUAGUCUACAAGUGAUUGGUUGUUCUAUGUUGGAGUAGCAAAAAAAAAAAUUCCUGCAGAGUGGCUAGACUAGCCGUUGUCAUUGGAGAUCGAAUACUUUAAUACGAACCAGAACGCGCUAAGUAGAAGAGGUGCUGUGGGCGGAAUAACAGCUGUGAUGGCAAACAGGCAUGCAAGGCAGCAAUAAUCAGCCUCAGCAUUUCCACUCGACUGCGAUAAAGAUGAAGGAAAGUGUAUUGUUAUCUUAUUGAUGAAAUUCGCCUAACAAUGGGUGAAUAACGCCAGAACAGCUGGUCAGCUGCUGGCAAUAGGCUUUGCAAGUCUUCCAUGCCAUUGGGAAAAACCCAGAGAAAUAAUGUACGGCACCAAUGAAAACAUAUGCUACCCACUGUAGCCAUGACAUCCUGGUUGUUUGUCCUUCUCCCCGAUAUUUGGUCAUCCAUUGACAAAGUGCACAACUGGACCGUGAAACAGCCCUUCGCUGCACAACUGAAAAUCCAUCGCAAAACAUUCAUACACACACAGCCUACGCGCAAAAGCUACAAGAGCCGAAGGAAGUGCUGUCACAUGCAUAACAGCACAUGACGACAGGGAAAUGCCGGGCAUGAAUGGCUUACACCAAGUAGUGUUUUUGACAGUUUGCAUAGUCUGCACGGCCCUCAAGAAAAGACAACUCCGAGCGUUUUGAUUUGUUGUUGCUAGUCGACUUCGCGGCACAGCUGUUGACGCACUUGAAAACGUGAGUUGAAACUCGCUCUGGGUCUACUACGCUCAGCAAAGUUGCGAGUUAUUUCUUCACGCUCAGAAUAUCACACCACUUUUAUAUCAACAAAGAAGAAGAAGAAACAGUACAGACACAAUCAACCCUCGGCAACCAGGUGUUGGGUGAUGGUGUUGUUGUUUGUUUAAGUGCGAUGAAUAGCCAGAAAAUGUUUUCUCAGCAAAAACUUGAUUUUCGCAAAACAAAGCAAACGCCAAAGAAAACGACGUAAAAAACUUGAAUGCAAACAAAACUGCUUGCCCGCUUGGCUAUCAAUGAGCGCGCCCUGCUCGGUACAGCCGUUGCAUGCAUUGUUGAUGAAUGAGCAGCAACAGCGGCAGCAGCAGUAGGAGCAGCAGUAGCAACAACAGCGGCAAAAUAUGUGAGCUAAGAGCACGCUGACACAGUGCGCUUGCUCUAAUGCUCACGAGCACGGAAACGGAAGGUUCUUAUGUAGCAUGUCAGCAACAAUGACGGCGACGGUGAAGUAAAAAAAAACAUUCCCAUAGGCAUACACAUUUACAUCCACACUAUGUUCAUACACAUACAUAUGUACACACUCGGUUGGUGGUACGACGCUACGUAUGCGUACCCUUGCACCGCUGCGGAAGAGACCGUCGCCCCUCAUAUAUCCAUCUUCUUUUGGAAUUCGUAUAACAGUUUGCACGCGCUGCUGCACAGAAUGAUUUCCGAUGAGGUGUGUGCAUUGGCGAGUUUCAUAGCCAGGUCAGUUGACAGUCGGCAGCGCUACAACCGAGCGAAGAGUGCUUUCUGUUUCUGUUGGUACAGUGUGAAACUAACUGGCAGACCCCCCAAACUAGCCAACUACAGUAUUUGUGUAGCUACAGCAGCAGUCAUUCUUUUCUAAAUUAAUAUUUUUUUUUUCCUGCUAAAAUAUUAAAGCGAAAAGUUGAUUGAAAUUAUUUUUGCAGCGGCAAAAAGUGUCAGCGACGUGUGAGUCGUCAACGGCGACGUCACAACGUCAUAACCAAAAUUAAGCAGCAGCCAUUUUGUGCCGAGAAAAAUCGUCCAAAUAGUAUCGCAUACUCAUUUGUAU